rnacentral:rRNA from 1 species
CCGUGCCCAAGAGAUCGGGAUAACACCUGGAAACAGAUGCUAAUACCGGAUAACAACAGAUGAUGCCUAUCAACUGUUUAAAAGAUGGUUCUGCUAUCACUCUUGGAUGGACCUGCGGUGCAUUAGCUAGUUGGUAGGGUAACGGCCUACCAAGGCGAUGAUGCAUAGCCGAGUUGAGAGACUGAUCGGCCACAUUGGGACUGAGACACGGCCCAAACUCCUACGGGAGGCAGCAGA